GAACGCGAAGAACCUUACCCGGGCUUGAAUUGCAGAGGAAGGAUUUAGAGAUAAUGACGCCCUUCGGGGUCUCUGUGAAGGUGCUGCAUGGUUGUCGUCAGCUCGUGCCGUGAGGUGUCGGCUUAAGUGCCAUAACGAGCGCAACCCCUCUCUUCAGUUGCCAUCAGGUUAAGCUGGGCACUCUGGAGACACUGCCACCGUAAGGUGUGAGGAAGGUGGGGAUGACGUCAAAUCAGCACGGCCCUUACGUCCGGGGCUACACACGUGUUACAAUGGCCGGUACAGAGGGACGGUGUAAUGCAAAUUGCAUCUAAUCUUGAAAGCCGGUCCCAGUUCGGACUGGGGUCUGCAACCCGACCCCACGAAGCUGGAUUCGCUAGUAAUCGCGCAUCAGCCAUGGCGCGGUGAAUACGUUCCCGGGUCUUGUACACACC
rnacentral:rRNA from 1 species